AGAAAAUAAGUGCAUAUAAAUCAUUCAAAUUCCAAACGCAUGUUUUUAAUGUCAAAAAUGUAAAACUAAAGAUUAAAAAUUCAUAUUGCAAAGUUCAUCGUUUUCCUAGCAUGAAAAGAUUAAUCUAACAUAACGACGGAAUUAAAUAAAUAAAAGUGGAACGACGUCACCCAAAAAUUGAUGAAACGUGAUUAUUCCAAUUGCGUGAAAUGUCGUCCACUGUCUCGUGUCUGUCUCUCCGUCUUUCUGCCGGCAGCGUUAUGUGUGAAUAUAUAUAAUUAAUCAGCCCACUUUUGUCUUCCAAAUUCAGCAUCCAAUUUUGCCUUACUGCCAAUUCUGUGCGUGUAUGUAUGAUUAAUUUCAGCAGUUGUGCAGCCCUCAAAUUCUGUCCAGAAAGCAGCUUCGGUUUCUGCGUAUAUAUUUAAUAGAAUCUCCUCCUUUUCCGUGUAUUGGCUACCUCUUCUAAUCUGCCGACCAGCCCUUCAAUUUGUAUGAAAUUAUAUAAAUAAUGGCUGACUUCAAUGUGUGUAGAGAUAUAAUAAUGGUUG
rnacentral:lncRNA from 1 species